rnacentral:rRNA from 1 species
UACGUAGGGUGCGAGCGUUGUCCGGAAUUACUGGGCGUAAAGAGCUUGUAGGUGGUUUGUCGCGUUGUUCGUGAAAACUCACAGCUCAACUGUGGGCGUGCGGGCGAUACGGGCAGACUAGAGUACUGCAGGGGAGACUGGAAUUCCUGGUGUAGCGGUGGAAUGCGCAGAUAUCAGGAGGAACACCGGUGGCGAAGGCGGGUCUCUGGGCAGUAACUGACGCUGGAGAAGCGAAAGCGUGGGGAGCGAACAGG